UGAUUGUGUUUGGGGUCCCCCAUGUAGUUGUUGAUUCUCAGGUUGGACCAAAUCUGUUAGCUGGGAUCCAUUUGUCUCAGUGUGAUUUGAGAGUCAUGGAAUCAUCUAUGGAAACCUGACCACUCCAAACAUAUCUCAAUGAGAACAUGCCAUUUUAUUUUCUUAAACACUGAAGACUAUUGGCAAGAGACCUCAAGUUUUCUGUCAAAGGCAUCUCCAAUUAUACUCAACUGUGACAAUAGCUCAGAUGGGGAAAGCAAAGAGGAUUGGAUGGAGGAUGCUGGAGGGUGAGCCUGUGAGGGCAUCACCCCAGAGCUGCUUAAUGCCAUGCAUUCCGUAGGGCUUUGAAGUUCAGUAACCACCUGGGACCAGUAACCACCUGGGUCCUGGUUCUCUUAAGUCUGUGUUGUCUUUGGAGAAAGUUACUGGAUGACUCAAGAUGGAAGUAGAGCAAGGCAGCAAGCCUAUUACUGCCUUUUCUAAGGGUGUAUAUCAUUUCACAUGUAGGUAUAACUGAUCUAGAGUUCAUAUACGAUAGGUAUGGGAAAGGGGAGCCAAGUUACAGAGAAAAAGACCAGCAAAUCAUUGCCCCUGUGAGAAAUGUGUGAACUGACAUGGGGCCCUCCCUCUGUCUCUCUGGCCUCCGUUUUCAUUCAUAAAGUGAGAGUAGCAUAGUUCCAUUUUUAUAGGACUGUUAAUUAAAUGACAUAAUGUGCACAAAAUCCCUAAUGCAGUGCCUGCCACAUGGGAGGUUUUCAAAGUAAAUAAGUGAUUUUUUUACUGCUGGAGCUGUAAUGCGGGCAGCCCUUUGUGGAGAGCGCUGGGAUCCCGGGCAGGAAGAUUGACUUUUAGCUGUGUAUGACUGUAGUGCAGGGACUGCAGAUUCCUUAUUUUGUCCUCAUGUCUUGCUAAGUAUGCUGAAUGUUGACAAUGCACACAUGUAGUACUUUAUACUUUUCAAACUAUUUCAUGCUUUUGGUCUUCUUUAGACUGUUGGGGAACUUUGAAGAAGCAAAUGAGCCUGUAUGCGUUUGGAGAAUGGAGUUUGAGCCAUGUCUUGGAAGCUCUGCUGGGGCGUUGAGAUGGAAAUCAUGGAUUCAAGGGAGUCAGGACUCGGGCCUCCCCUCCUCUCCUGGCCCAGAUGAAGAGCAGUCCAAGAGGGUCUGCCCCUCGCUGCGGUGACAGGAGUGUGGGCUACAAGUUGGGAUCAAUUGUUACUGCUUCUGAGAUUGCUCCUGUCAGAAGAGACCAAGAGAAAACUUGUGCUGCCUGUAAUAAUCUUACCUGGCUUGUUGGCAUCUCAUGUUAGGUAAUAAGUAGAUUGACCUUGGGGUGCAUAUCUGUAAAGAAGAUCCAAAUGAGGAUACAGGUAUGAAGAUUUAGAGGCAACUUAAUAGAAUAAAUACCCUCAUCUAAUGUUAAAAUGAUGACA
rnacentral:lncRNA from 1 species